AUAGACUCGUUGAAAAGAAAGAGUAGUUAGAGUUAAGCUUGUUUUAGAGAUUGCAGCACUGGUGAAAGCUGCAUCAAGCACUUUGAUGAAUUCGUCUUGGAGAAGAUGCCAAUAACAUCCGUUUCGCCUGCGUUAAGGGCUUUAAGGGCUAGAAUUUAAUUCUAGAACUAAGGUGGUACCGCGUAAAAUUUACGUCCUUAGA
rfam:Tenericutes bacterium GWF2_38_8 gwf2_scaffold_5301, whole genome shotgun sequence.